GAAGGAUGAAAAACAUAAGCGAUUCAAUGGAGUCUCAGAUGAAUCAUGACAGACGUAAAGCUUGUGAUGCGACUGAACCUGUGUAUGAGAAUGUAAAGCUUGACAGGAAGAGGCUGUAGAAGCUCACCAUUGUGAGGUUGAUGGUUUUACAGAAUAAUGUUUGGUAUCUCAAAAGUCCUUUAAUGCAGCCUAAAUCUCCUGUUUGAAUGUUAGAUUCCUGUUCAUUAUAAAGACAUUUAUGCAUUGACAUACAGUACAUGCACAGCUUCUUUAAAAUGAUUGUGAUAUGCCAUACAAAUAAAACUGUCUUGAACUGAAAUUUACAUACAAAACACAUUUGCAUAGAAACUGGAAGUUAUUAUAAUCACUUUAGUAUUUUUGUUUCAUUUAAUGAUGUUUUUUUUAAUGUGUGCAUUUUUUGUUAAACAUCUGCAGCUCCAUGUUAGAUAAAUGCUUUAUUUGUAAACCAAAGCCACUAAACAAGCAAACGCAGUGUGGUCCAUGUAGUGUGAGGUAUCUGUGAUCUCUCUCUCUCUCUCUCUCUCUCUCUCUCUCUCUCUCUGUAUAAUGUCAUUUUAAGGUUUUACCAUUUUGCUUCUCAUUCAAGUUACAGCUUAAAUGUAAUUUUGAAAAGUAAAAUUCAUAGGCUUUUAUUUAUGUGUAUCUAAAUCAACACCAGAGCACUGCAGGAACAUGAAGACAUGUCAGACAUGGUUAGAGUCAUGACACCUGCUUAGCUGCAGAAUGCAUGGUCAUUUCUCCUGUGCUAAUAAAAAGGUACAAACACUUCAGUGAUUUCAGAGUCAUCCCUUGAAUUUAAUACUGGACAGUAAAUAUCACAUACUUCUCACCCGUUUAGUAAUUUGCUAAAAAUAUAUGUGAAAAAUAAACCUACCAUAAUAAUACUAAAACUAAAGAGUGUGACAACUAACUCCAUUCUC